rnacentral:lncRNA from 1 species
ACAUAGGUCCCCAGAGAAUUUCAAUAUGUCUGAUGUCAAGAACGGAAAGUGAGACAGCCAGGUGGGAGGGGGUCCCUGGAGAAUCUCCAACCAGCCUGCGCACUGGGAAUGCGCACUGGAGUGAAAAUACAGAAGUUGGUGCCCUUUGCAGCAGCCAGGAGUCCGACUCCUCCUCUUCCUGUGUGGAACCUGGAAUUCAAACGGCUGGGUAGGAAGCACGCUAGCAGGGGCCUCUGGCCUUGCUGAGGGUCCCUGUUUCCCCUUUUCCUUCCUUUUCACCCAACAAAACCCUGCUUUACUCACCCUUCAAACCAUCUAUGAGCCUAAAUUGUCGUGGUCGUGGAAUGGACAAGGACCCAGUCUUUAGCUGAACUAAGGGAAAGUCCUGCUUUUUGGCGCGCAACAGGGGAGCUCAAGAAACAGGCCUCACUCACGGCAUAUGGAACUAACCACGCCCCUAACUAAGAAGGCACACCUUAGUUGCAGUUAGCACACAAUUAAAGCAACUCUCCAAGUUUUACCUUAAAGUUCAAAAUUGCUAGGAGUUGAAACUACUAGAAAUAUAUUUACAUGCAAGAGUCAAAGAAACUUUGAACUAUUUAUGGCCUUUAAUAAUUAAGUAAGGUAUACUCCUGUGAUCAAGACUUGGAGCAUAUUUGUUUCUCUCUGCCUGGUUCCUCUAGAAAUUGGAAACUAUCAGAACAGAGACCAACUCCGUUUCCCGAUCCCUUUGCAAUCUGCAUUGAACCAUGAGUCAAGUUCUUGAUAAAGGAGUGAAAAUGUGUGUGACACAUGUGCUCAUGGAUUAUUGUCCGAAGCAAGACAUGUGACCAAGCCUAACAUCAACUGGGUGAAGAGCUAUAUGUUCCUUUCUCAAGAGGCACUACAAGUGACAUGCCACUGGGCAGUGGCUGCUAUGGAAACAAGUCCUGAUGCAUGACAGAGGAGGAAAGCUAUCAGUCCUGUGGUUAAAGAGGGGACAUUUCCACUAGAUUUCCAAUUGCAUAUGGAAUCAAGAAAGAAGCAACUGGGAAUUACUUCACACAGCAAAUCUAAGGAAGAGACUGUUAAUUUGGCUUUGCCAGUUACUCCUUCUCAAGGCCCAUAAUUAAAUGUGAGUUUCUGGGCACUAAUGCAAAAGCCAGAUUUGCUCUGAGCCUGCGGGGCUUAUAAAUUGGUUGCUUUUGCAAACUGUUAUUGUUCCUUUAGGUCAAGAGGGGAAGAAUUAUUGACUUUGUUCAGUUGAAUUAAAUGCUCCCCUUGUGGUUUGAAAGAAGAAAUUUGCCUCCCUCACCCUCUAAGAUUACAUACAAAGGGAGAAUUGUUUUUGGGCAAGUUAGACUUGAUGAAAAAAUAUACAGUUCUACUGGAUUAUAGCACUGUGUGUUGCCUUAGAGUCACAUGACUCCAGUUUUGCCUUCUAUAUGAAGCCCAAGGCUUUCAUCUUUUUCUGAUACAGUGGGCUCUUCAGCUUUAAGCACUGACUUUUGUGUGCUAGUAUACAAUGCCUGUACACUCCCACAAAAAGCUCAAGAUGUCCUUACACGUAUUUGCUGUAGGUGUCCUUCAGCCGAUUUCAGUGCCUAGAAUCUAGAUGCUUUGCACCUAGUUUCACCUUUGCUCACAGAUGCUAGUG